GAUGAACGCUAGCUACAGGCUUAACACAUGCAAGUCGAGGGGAAACGGCAUCGAAAGCUUGCUUUUGAUGGGCGCCGACCGGCGCACGGGUGAGUAACGCGUAUCCAACCUGCCCAUCACUUGGGCAUAACCUUGCGAAAGUAAGACUAAUGCCCAAUGACAUCCCACGAAGGCAUCCGAAUGGGAUUAAAGAUUUAUCGGUGAUGGCGGGGGAUGCGUCUGAUUAGCUUGUUGGCGGGGUGACGGCCCACCAAGGCAACGAUCAGUAGGGGUUCUGAGAGGAGGGGGCCUCACAGUGGGACUGGGACACUGUGCAAACUGCUACGGGAGGCAGCAGUGAGGAAUAUUGGACUAUGGGCGAGUGCCUGAUCCAGCGAAGUAGCAUGCAGGAUGACGGCCCUAUGGAUUGUGAACUGCGUUUAUAAGGGAAUAAAGGGGGUCACGUGUGACUUUUUGCAGGUACCUUAUGAAUAAGGACCGGCUAAGUCCGUG
rnacentral:rRNA from 1 species